rnacentral:rRNA from 1 species
AUUGUAGCAAUACGGUCUCAGUGGCGAACGGGUGAGUAACGCGUUGGUGACCUGCCCCGAAGUGUGGAAUAACAGAUCGAAAGAGCUGCUAAUACCGCAUAAUAUCCAGAAGAUUAGACGCUUUUGGAUUAAAGGAUUUAUUCGCUUCGGGAGGGGCCUGCGUCCCAUCAGCUAGUUGGUAAGGUAAUGGCUUACCAAGGCUAUGACGGGUAGGGGACCUGAGAGGGUGGCCCCCCACAAUGGAACUGAAACACGGUCCAUACACCUACGGGUGGCAGCAGUAGGGAAUAUUAGUAAUGGGCGAAAGCCUGAACUAGCAACGCCGCGUGUGCGAAGAAGGCCUUCGGGUUGUAAAGCACUUUUAGAGAGGAUGAGGAAGGACGGUACUCUCAGAAUAAGUCUCGGCUAACUACGUGCCAGCAGCCGCGGUAACACGUAGGAGGCGAACGUUAUCCGGAUUUACUGGGCGUAAAGCGCGUGUAGGUGGUUUGGUAAGUAGGGCGUGAAAGCUCCCGGCUCAACUGGGAGAGGCCGUUCUAAACUGCCAAGCUAGAGGAUGGUAGAGGGAGGUGGAAUUCCGGGUGUAGCGGUGGAAUGCGCAGAUAUCCGGAGGAACACCAGUGGCGAAGGCGGCCUCCUGGGCCACUCCUGACACUCAGACGCGAAAGCUAGGGUAGCAAACGGGAUUAGAGACCCCGGUAGUCCUAGCCCUAAACGAUGUAGACUUGGCGUCGGUGGUUUAAACGCCAUCGGUGUCGCAGCUAACGCGAUAAGUCUACCG